rnacentral:tRNA from 2 species
GGAGAGGUGCCGGAGUGGACGAACGGGCACGACUGGAAAUCGUGUAGGGGCUUACGCCUCUCGAGGGUUCGAAUCCCUCUCUCUCCGCCA